AAAAGUUUCCCCCUUCAAGUCCAGGCAGUCAAAUAAUAAGCAUAUCUAGAUUGAGAUUUAUCUAAAUUUAUCUAGACGGAGACUUUCUGAAAUGUAUGUAAAUUUCUAUAAUUGCAUAUCUAUAAUUAUAUAAUUACAUUCAUUUCUACAUAGAUUAAAUGGUGGAAUUUAUACACACACACAUAUAAAAACUUCUGAGUUCUGUUUUCUUUUAAUCUUCCAGAAGGAUGAUCAGUGGACUUUCACCCAUAAGGUAACAUUUCAAAACAGAAAUUGCUUCGCUCGUCACUAGCAUUGUCUGAAACACAGUUACAGUAUAAUUAUUCACCUGAUAGGGCUCUGCAGUCAAAGCACAGACUCAUAGAACAUUCUGUGUCUAAAGAAAUCAUCUUUGGGAGGCUUGGCGACUUCUGGGUCUGAUCGAAUGAAAUCAUCUCCCGGGUAGCCGCAUUCCAUCCCCACAAGGAGAACUCACUUCCAAUGAACAAUUGAAUGGUUACCAAUUUUCCUAAAUGACAAAAGAAGACCUAAGGUUUAAAGGCCAGACUCUCCCAGAGGUGUAAGAACAGGAGAUGCACCUUCUCCAUGUGUGUGGGUACCAAGCUUACUAAUUGCAGGCCCAGUAAUUGCAUCUUCCAGAUGUGUCCAAUCCUGUAUGUAAACUCACUGCCUGGAGCCUUUUGAACAAACAAGCCCUUUUUUUUUCAGGGUGGUGGGGCAGGGGAAGGGAAGUCUAACAGACAGCUGGGUUUCCCCAGCACUCCUGGGCCCUGCUAGUCAUUUGGCUACAGUUUUGCUUCUCUUGAAAAGUCUUCUGCCUGGAUCACCCCAUUCCAGCUCACCCUUGAAUGAGUCAUGAGGCUGCUGUUCACACCCGGCAUCGAACUUUCUGCAAAGCCUGUGAUUCUGUGGUCCUGCUCAGAGACCACCAGACUUAAACUCUGCCCUGAGUAGCUAGGAGUUCCCAGACUUCCGUCUUCCCAAAGACAGCUUCAGUGGCUGAUCAGUCAUCAGUGUUCUUAGUCCCCCCCCCUUUUUUUUUUCUUUUUAGGGCCACACCUGUGGCAUGUGGAAGUUCUGGAGCUGGGAGUGGAGUCAGAGCUACAGCUUCAGACCUACACCACAGCUCAUGGCACCACCAGAUCCUUAACCCACGGAGCGGGGCCAGGGCUUGAACCUGCAUCCUCACGGAUACUAGGUUGGGUUCUUAACCCACUGAGCCACAACAGGGACUCCAGUGUUCUUACUUGUAAAUGCCCCUCUUUGUAAUUCUGACCAGUGAGCUGUAACACAGCAAGAAAUGAAGGAGGAUUUGUUUCACCUCAAGACAUGAUUCCUCAAAUGACCGCAUCCUGUUAGAGGUAAACGUAGCUGUUUAAUAGGUUAAUUACAUGAGAAACAGAGCGAUUAAAAGAAAAUAGGAGACAGCUAGCCAUUCCUUUUAGUAAUUAGUAGACUAGAGCAAAGUUAUUUGUCAUGGCAGUUAUUAAGCUUGAGCUGUUGGUUAAGCAAAGAAAUCCUACCUUGCCUAACCGUUAGCACUAGCUAAAGGUUAGUACUGGCAUGGUUGAGGGGCUCAGGGUAACACAAUAAGUAAUAAGCCACAGAUUUUUCUAAAAUCCGUUCAAUCCUUCUGCACCCGGCAUGCACUCCAUAGCUCCUACUGGCUCCAACACAAACCACUGGAAGAAAAUUCCUUUUUGUUUAGGCUCAUUGCUUCUAAAGUAUGCAGAGCUGUUAACUUGCAGCAGGAGAACAAUGGAUGUUCUCACUGGCUUCUGGAGAUAAGACUCGAAUUCAAAAAGACUCCUGUUCGUAUGAAUGGUAUCUAGGCUGGACUCCUGCCAGCCACAGCGAAUUGAAUGUGUGCAGGUGGAUUUGGCUGGCCUGUCCCAAGUCUUACCUACACCCCCUUGGAGUGUUCGGCCACCCAACCACAGAGCAAUUACAGUGGCUUCAGGAAUGAGGUGAACGAUGAUCAAAGCGAGGCCCUCCUAGUGUUUCAGAGACCAGACCAUCCCAAAGCGUUCCAUCAGGGGCCAGACCACCCUCUCGGCAGCAACGUUAGGAGACCAGAAAAACUGAUGGUGGUUGAAUGAGGUAAACUGGAAGGAGCUCUUCCAACCUUGCAGUGCUGUGAAAUGGCCUCAUUCCAAAUAAUUUCUCAGCAUUCGGAGAAAAUUAUGGCUUCUGAAUUAACUCAAAAAAGAGUUCCAAAACGAUGCUUGGCUCAGCUGGAUGUUACAGAAAGAGAAAAGGUGAGAUCUGUCUUAAAGGGUCACAGAGCCAAAUACAAAUAGGAGUAAUCAUGAUGGUAGUUGUAAUAAUAAUAAUAAUAUCAAUAGUAUCAAUAAUAUAAUAGUAAUAGAGCCUCCAAAGUUAUUCCUCUCUUUUUCUUGUGACCCAGUGAAAUUCACUUUUCUUUAGAGCAACCUACCCCGUGUUUUAGUUAAGCUAAUCUCCGAGUCAAUUUUCCUUCUCUUGGAGAAAAAAAAAAAUUAACUAGGCUACAGCAGCCAAUGGAAGCUGAAGAUGUUUUGUGACAGGCUGAGUUUUGGAGAAGAAAAUCUGGAAAAAACAAACACUAGAUAAUCUAGACAAAGAUAAUUCGGAGCUGAUGUUCCUUGGUAGAAAAUGCCAUUGACUUUGAUGCUGAUGCUGGAAGCGCGCAAAAUAAACUUUUCCUAACUGUACACCACUGUACUGGGAAUGUUAUCUUUUUGAAGGAAAAAAAAAAAGGCAUCGGAGAGUUAGCAGGAUGAAGACAUGGAAAUACAAUAGGAACAAGCUCCAGAAAGUGACUUCUGUCAACAUUAAAGGACAUUUUUUUUUUUUUUUUCUGUAUACACAGUUUACACUUAGUUUCCUCAUUGAAAAGCUUAAAAAGCUGCCUUGAUUCUCAGAGCUUUGUGCCUAGCAGAGUAUUUGGCUCUUACCACGGAGACAUUGUGUUUCCAGUGAGUUUUGCUUUUCAAAAGGCAGGAAGAGAGGAAACACAGGGUUGCUAGACCGGCAGCAGGAUAACACAGGAACCACCCCAACCUACCUGCCUGCCAAAAGCUUCAGUGCUACAGCUUCUCUGCCAGCCAGGACCAGGUGGGUAGCAGACGCUCUGUUGGAUGCAGUUUAUGUGAGUUCCCCAAAUGAGACCCAAGGCCAAAAUCACCUAAUAGGUUUCAUAUGCCGUGUUCAUUAUUCAUUGAACAAAUAGGUAUCAAGUUCCCACUGUGUACCAAGCCCGGGGCUGGGUGCCGGGGGCCACAGCCUGGGGGAAAACU
rnacentral:lncRNA from 1 species